AUUGAACGCUGGCGGCAGGCCUAACACAUGCAAGUCGAACGGUAACAGGAAGAAGCUUGCUUCUUUGCUGACGAGUGGCGGACGGGUGAGUAAUGUCUGGGAAACUGCCUGAUGGAGGGGGAUAACUACUGGAAACGGUAGCUAAUACCGCAUAACGUCGCAAGACCAAAGAGGGGGACUUCGGGGCCCCUUCCCAUCGGAUUGGCCCAGAUGGGAUUAGCUAGUAGGUGGGGUAACGGCUCACCUAGGCGACGAUCCCUAGCUGGUCUGAGAGGAUGACCAGCCACACUGGAACUGAGACACGGUCCAGGCUCCUACGGGAGGCAGCAGUGGGGAAUAUUGCACAAUGGGCGCAAGCCUGAUGCAGCCAUGCCGCGUGUAUGAAGAAGGCCUUCGGGUUGUAAAGUACUUUCAGCGGGGAGGAAGGGAGUAAAGUUAAUACCUUUACUCAUUGACGUUACCCGCAGAAGAAGCACCGGCUAACUCCGUG
rnacentral:rRNA from 1 species